GACGAACGCUGGCGGCGUGCCUAAUACAUGCAAGUAGAACGCUGAAGGAGGAGCUUGCUUCUCUGGAUGAGUUGCGAACGGGUGAGUAACGCGUAGGUAACCUGCCUGGUAGCGGGGGAUAACUAUUGGAAACGAUAGCUAAUACCGCAUAAUAGUAGAUGUUGCAUGACAUUUGCUUAAAAGGUGCAAUUGCAUCACUACCAGAUGGACCUGCGUUGUAUUAGCUAGUUGGUGGGGUAACGGCUCACCAAGGCGACGAUACAUAGCCGACCUGAGAAGGUGAUCGGACACCCUGGGACUGGGACACGGCCCAGACCACUACGGGAGGCAGCAGUAGGGAAUCUGCGGCAAUGGGCGGAAGACUGACCGAGCCACGCCGCGUGAGUGAAGAAGGGUUUCGGAUCGUAAAGCUCUGUUGUAAGAGAAGAACGAGUGUGAGAGUGGAAAGUUCACACUGUGACGGUAUCUUACCAGAAAGGGACGGCUAACUACGUG
rnacentral:rRNA from 1 species